GCCCGAUUGGCCUAAUGGUUACGGCGUCGCUUUCCUACAGCGACACGCUGCAUCCGCAGGCGAAGAUUGUGGGUUCGAGUCCCAUGUCGGGUU
rnacentral:tRNA from 1 species